AACGAACGCUGGCGGCAGGCCUAAUACAUGCAAGUCGAACGCACCGCAAGGUGAGUGGCAGACGGGUGAGUAACGCGUGGGAACCUUCCUUGCAGUACGGAAUAACUCCGGGAAACCGGUGCUAAUACCGUAUACGCCCUCCGGGGGAAAGAUUUAUCGCUGCAAGAUGGGCCCGCGUCGGAUUAGCUAGUUGGUGGGGUAAUGGCCUACCAAGGCUACGAUCCGUAGCUGGUCUGAGAGGAUGAUCAGCCACACUGGGACUGAGACACGGCCCAGACUCCUACGGGAGGCAGCAGUAGGGAAUAUUGGACAAUGGGCGAAAGCCUGAUCCAGCCAUGCCGCGUGAGUGAAGAAGGCCUUAGGGUUGUAAAGCUCUUUUGGCGGGGACGAUAAUGACGGUACCCGCAGAAUAAGCUCCGGCUAACUUCGUGCCAGCCGCCGCCGUAA
rnacentral:rRNA from 1 species